GCUAAAUUAUUACUGUCAUAGAUCUAUCAGUUCCCGUUUCUUCAUUUUCAUUCAACAGAAACAACUCUCCGUGUAUUCUCGUCGUCUCAGUGAAAAUUCAAUCACCAAAUAUAAAUAUGGUGAUCAAAGAAACACUUGAUUAAGCUUGAUAAACCAAAACCUUCUGUUUUCGAUACAUUCUUUUUGAAGAUUAACUCGGAGUUUAAAUGAAAAGUUGAGGAGAUUCAAGAACAUCAAAUUAAUUUGACGGUUUCAUCAUAGUAGAAAGCGGUUUGAAGAUAAGUUAAAUAUGUUCUUAUCAUUUGAUUUUAUUUCCAUUGUUAACUUAUCGAUUUAAAAAUUGAUUUUAGGAUUUUUUAACGGUUUUUGAAACCUAAUUACUUUGAUUUCAGUCCGACUUUUAUUCGACUAAUAAAAGAGUUUAGAUUAUAAUCACGUCAUCUAAUCUUCUUACUCUAAAACUCUCUAUGUUCCUGAACCAGUUCCCAAAAAUGGAAACCAUUUGAAUAUGUUUUCCGUUUUGGAUGAACAGGUAGUCACAAUUCAUAUAUACCUAACCUUAUUGCUUGUGUUUCAGUUUUUCAUUUGAUCUUGAUUGGUGCAUGUGCUUUAUUUUCAUUUUUUAGAUUCCUUUAUCAUCUAAUUCGUCUAUUUAUUGAUGUUCUGCAUUUGGUGAUUAUUACUGGGCAAUCGUAGUUUUAUUAGUAUAUUAUUCUCAUUUAAAGUUUAUGUGUCUAUUGCUUUUGGUGGGGAAAAAUGUUCAUGUCUCUGAAUGUUACCUAUUUCUUGAAUACUUGCCACUUAGUGCAUAAUCUUAUAGUGUGCUUAACAGUUGUUUCUUAGGACUUCACUUGAUCGAGAUGGACCUUAAUGCAUAAUCUUAUAGUGUGCUUAACAGUUGUUUCUUAGGACUUCACUUGAUCGAGAUGGACCUUAAGAUGCUUUUACUAGUGAUAAUAUUUCUCAUGUGAUCAUUUAAAUUGCACUUUUUUUUGUCUACUUCAGGGUAAUUAUGGCAAACAAUUUUUAAUAGGACUGGUAUAGUUUACGCAUAUCGUCAGGACUUCAAAACCUCAUUUAGGUAAGGAUAUUUAUAUUGGUUGUCUUUCUUUUAGUAAAUUAUGCGGAAAAUCUCGAGUUUAUGUUUAAUUUGUACUUAGGUUCGUUAGAUCUUUUCCCUGCCAAACUAUAAAUUCAAUUAAUGGUGUGCACUGAUUAAAAAGAAUGAAAUUUAAUAAGUAUCAUCCCCAAGAUUAUGUAGUUCCAGUCCUCAAGAGCAAUAAAAUGUUAUAUCAGAUGUUGCAUCAAGUGGUUAACUUGGCUACUUAUAGAAUGGUAGGAUUAAACAUGUGUUGGGAGGAUUAGGUGGUCCAUAACCAUGAUUAUAUGAAAAUUAGAUGCUAUUGAAUUACUAAUUAUCUUAAUAUCACCAUGACCGUGUAGAUUAAGUGGUCCAUAACCAAUGGUUUAAGUGGAUAUAAUAUUUUAUGAGGUUCACUUGCGCAAUUUAACUAUUAUGCUUAAUCAUAAAAAUAAGAAUUGACUGGUGUAUUUUCUUGUACACCUGUUAUAUGGGUGCACAUGUGAGUGCAUCUUUGUUUGUGCUUGCUAUACAAUGUGUAUAUGCUUGUACACCAACUAUAUUUAGUGCACUUUUGUUGUGGUGGUGGAUUAGGUAUGUCAAUCAAGAGAUUUUUGGUGAGAACAUUACUGAACAAGCUGCAGUUAGAGAUGUUCAAAAAUCUUGUAUAUGUGAUGAUAAAUUCUUACUUCUUUUUGUGCAUUUUUAUCUAAGAUUGAUUGUGGUUAAUAGUUUGAUAGAUGUUUUAUGUGCAUGGUAAUCUUUACCUAAAUUGUAUGCAUGCCAAAAUGCUUUACUGUGUCUCCCGUGCAUUUUCAUGUUGCAAAAGUUAGUUUUAGAGAGAAGAGAAUGAACCAUGGCCUACCUCAACAUUUCAGACGUCGAACAUGUGCCUUGCCCUUGCUUGAAAAGUAGCUCAAGGUGUGUUUUUUUAAAUGCUAUCGUAAAGUCCUUUAACUUCCAAUGUGUACAUAGUUGUACACAUAUUGAUUCUUAAUGUGUACAUAAUUGUACACAUGUUGAUAUUGGCCAUGGAGAAGUCAAAUCUUGGGAAAGCUGAGAUAAUGAGUUUUUUUGUAUCUAAGAUGAUCCCAUCAUGGUUCCUGCCUUCCAGUUGAAAGAAGCUCGAUAUGGGGGUUUGCUUGGCUGUUGGAAUUCGAUCCUAAAUCAGUUCCAUCUUGUUUUUAUGAGGAAAUAUUAACAAAAAGCUGCCCAGACUGGCUGGUUAUGGAUGUGGAUGAUCUAGCGCUCAUGCAACUUUCUGGUACUAUGGUCAUGAACUAGAAAUGUGGAACUGUUGAAGGCGUCACUUAGUGCAGUUGAAUACAUUUCCUCACUGUUUAACUCAGAGGAUGAGUUGAAGAUGAUAAAGGAGGUUGUGAUCACAUCUGCCUUUGGAAGUGACCUCACCUUAUGCUCUAUGCUUGCAGCCCAAGAUGCUGCAACACGGUUCAAGGUAUACUUGGUUCCUUUUCUGAUUCUUAUCUUGAUAUUGGUCUAAGCUGAUAACAUGAUUGUGUUCGUUAGGUUUCUUAGUUGAAUUUGAAUAAUACAACCUUUGUUUUACAAAUAUAUUUUAUUGUAGAAUUAGCCUUUGUGUUCACCAACACAACCAGUGUAGCUUGCUUGUUUGUCCUUCCCUGUGCAUACAGUGGUUUUUUACAUAUUAAAUUUAAGGACUCAUAAACACCAAAUGGCUUAGUAAUGUAUUGCGUGAGGGUCCUAAUGAAAGCUUUACUAGGUGUUUUUUAGGGGUGUACAUAUUGGUGCACUUGUGUAAUUCCCAUGAAAAAAUAGGUUGGUGUUUGGUUAUGAAUGGUCUCUCUUAUGCAUGGUUUGCAGGGGUGUAUAGCUUGCUUGUUUGUCCUUCCCUAUGCAUACAGUGGUUUUUUACAUAUUAAAUUUAAGGACCCAUAAACACCAAAUGUCUUAGUUAUGUAUUGCGUGAGGGUCCUAAUGAAAGUCUUACUAGGUGUUUUUUAGGAUAUGCCCAUUUUUGUGUUUUUUUUUCUUUCUUUCUUUUUGUUGUAGACUUUUUAUGCGUAGACGAUUCAAGUUGUAUAUGUGUAUAAACUUCGGCAUUUUGUUCUGUCUCGUGAAUAUACGACAUGUUUUCUGUAUGCGGAUGUUAGAUUUUGUACAUAUGUACAUGGUGUACACUACUGUCAUGUCUCAUUGAUAUAUGUGGCCUGUUUUAUGGGUAUGGAUGCUGGAUUUUCAUGAUUUUUGUAGAUGUGUACAUGGUGGUACACCACCAUGUGUACACAUUUGUGUUUAUGCCUGCUAGCUCGAGUUGUGGUGAAGGAAAGAUGUAUUUGGUUUGAUUAGAGUUUAUGUCUGCUAGCUCGAGUCUGAAAGAAGAUGGUGUUACUGAGAUUUCAAGGGUGUUAGAAUUGUUGAUUUGAUGAAUAUGAGAUGGAGACAGUGUUGUUAUUUUGUGUGAUUUAGAGUCUACAGUGAGUAAGCUGAUAACGAAAUGAAGAAGCGCUGUGUAUUAUUGCUGGCUGAGAAAUUACAGGGUAUGGAUGAGCUGCAGCUGGCUAUGAAGCAAUUGCAGGUGAUGCUAUGGUAAAUUUGGAAGAAUGAGUUUGCUUCUAUGUUGCAGUACAAGGAAUAGUGCAGCUGAGUAACUGGUGCUAUUGAGAUGGUAGAACUCUGAAGUGGUGAUCUGGUGAAUAAAUAUGAAAUGCCGAUGGAAUUGCAAAGAUGAAAUCUGAAAUGUGUGAUGUUGGUGGUACUGAGGAGCGGGAAUUUAUGUUGUUGUUGGAUGGAUAGUGUUGUUGUAGAGAAGUGCAGCUAAGAUUGGAAAGCUGCAGAAACAGGUAAAAAAUUUGAGUUGAAUGGUUGAGGUGCUGUAGUUGUUUGCAGCAGCAGGGUUAAGGGUGGUUGAGCGUUGGAGCUGGUGUUGGUAAUGAGUUUGGUUGUAAACAGGUGCAUUUUUGUAGAUGUGUACAUGUUUGUACACCAAUGUAAACUAAAUUUUUUUUUAAAUGAGAAUUAUGUAAUCAUAUGGGUACUCUUUUUGUAGCUUUC